CUUAAAUGAAUUGACGGGGACCCGCACAAGCAGCGGAGCGUGUGGUUUAAUUCGUUGCUACACGAAGAACCUUACCUGGGUUUGACAUAUAGGUUGUAGGGAACUGAAAAGGGACCGACCCUUCGGGGAGCCUAUACAGGUGUUGCAUGGCUGUCGUCAGCUCGUGUCGUGAGAUGUUCGGUUAAGUCCGCUAACGAGCGCAACCCUCGUCGUAUGUUAUAUGUGUCAUACGAGACUGCCGGUAAAAGCCGGAGGAAGGUGAGGAUGAUGUCAAGUCAGCAUGACCUUUAUAUCCAGGGCUACACACACGCUACAAUGGUCUGUACAAUGGGUAGCCAAGCCGCGAGGCGGAGCCAAUCCUGAAAGCAGGCCUCAGUUCAGAUUGCAGUCUGCAACUCGACUGCAUGAAGCCGGAGUUGCUAGUAACCGCAGGUCAGCAAUACUGCGGUGAAUACGUUCCCGGGUCUU
rnacentral:rRNA from 1 species